UUCCAGACAGCCGCUCGCCUGCGUCCGGGUUUUGCCAUGUCGUCGUGCCGGGGCGGUCUGAAUGGUGUUGUUAUACGCGUUACAUAUUUCCAGACUGCAACGUGCUUACGUGGAAUAGCACCGCGAUCAAGGGAAACGAUGUAGCCUGCGUUGAUUUUCAGACUGCAAUGUGCUUGUGAAGAAAGACGUUGGGAUCAAUGGACAGGAUGCGGUCUUCGUUGUGUGCAACAACCACUGUUUAGGGUUAGUCUUAGGCAACAGCUGUUUUGAUACGCCGAUAAAGCUUUGCAGGUUAUGGUAUCUGGCAUCAGGAGGAGCUUGAGAAACGGAAUGCAGAUAACAGGUUUCCUCACGGGGGCUACCCAGAGGAUCGUCUGUGCAGUGCGAUGCGACCGGGCUUACGGAUAAAUAUCAUGGUCCUCAUC